CCGUAGCCCAAGAGAUCGGGAUAACACCUGGAAACAGAUGCUAAUACCGGAUAACAACAGAUGAUGCCUAUCAACUGUUUAAAAGAUGGUUCUGCUAUCACUCUUGGAUGGACCUGCGGUGCAUUAGCUAGUUGGUAGGGUAACGGCCUACCAAGGCGAUGAUGCAUAGCCGAGUCGAGAGACUGAUCGGCCACAUUGGGACUGAGACACGGCCCAAACUCCUACGGGAGGCAGCAGUG
rnacentral:rRNA from 1 species